AUACGGCCUUGAAUCGAGGCUACCACUGCACUAUCCUGGAAGGGCGGCCAAUUCAUGAGAGUAUUGAGUCAAUUAGCGAACUUUGACCUCGGAUAACCUUCUGGAUUUAACACCGCUACAAAACUCUCAGUUUAGCUUUGCUCUCUUAGCAGAGAAAGCGAAUUAAGCAACGUUAAUAGCUAUAGACGAUCAAAGGACCCCUACCUGAACUGCUGCAGAGGAAAUGAGUUUGAUAAGCCUGAGGGUGUGCUCCUCCUCUCGAUGAUAUGGUACACAGAUUUGGAUGCUUGCUUCUGUCAUCUUCUAAGCUCAAUAAUUAAUAAGAGAUGCAGUGUUUUUUGUUGUUAUUUACUCUUUUUUUUUGUCAAUCUUGAGUCAACCAACAUUCAUUAAUUGCUCAACCCAUAAUUAUUUAUUAAUGUUUCAGAGACCAGA